rnacentral:lncRNA from 1 species
UGCAAUUCCUUGGGAACUAGUUCUCCUGUUUGGUUACCUGGUGUGGUGUCAGCAUUGUGCUUUGAGGAGGCAAUGGCUCUGAAGCAGCACCACUCGAAAGAACCUCAUCUCUGAUUGUCUGGCAUUGUAUUGAUUCAGCACAAAAAGAAAUGCACAACAGGAAUUGGGAAGAAAUAAAAACCAGGAAUAGGAGCA